rnacentral:lncRNA from 1 species
GUCCUUCAGCGUGGCCAUGACGUCGGCCUGGAUGCGGUUGCAAAUCACGUCCAGGGGAAGGAUGCUGCAGGCAGGGGUGAAGACGAGUGAGGGGCGAGGUCAACGUGCUGAGAAGGGGCAGAGACAGGAACGGCAAGAAUCAGAACACGAUGCUGCAGGCAAUAGCCAGACACGCCCUGUCUCAGCAGACCGCAAGUCCUUAUCACUGUAGGUCUGUAGGCGGCCGCCUGGUUGACAGCCCGCAGCAACCACCCCGCUUUGACCUGCCUAGACUCACCCGAAAGGCUCCUCGCACUGCACACCAAUCUCCUCAAUACCGCACAGCACGGCGGCAAUACCGGAGCAGACCGGGAUCACGGACACGCCGCACGACCCGUACAGGGCGAACGGCAGCAGAGUCAGCCACGCGAACAGGAAGCGCGCGGUGUGGCGGGUGUAGGACACGGGGAUGGGGGCACGCAGCAGGCGCUCGCAGCCUCCCAGCACAUCGUGGAAGAAGGUCAGGUUGUUGCUCAUCUGCUGCUGGUGGAUGGAGCUCAUGGGCACCGACUGGAUGAUCUGUGGGGAGGGCACGUGGCGGGUAACGCAAGCUCACAAAUGGGUGUUGGGUGAUGCAUGUUGCUGCGAUUUCCAUUGUUGCAUGUUCCAACUGUGAUCUGCACGCGCGAAGAGGAGUCCACGUGCGCACCUGGCUGAUGGCGUGGAUGGCGCGGACGGGGCGGUGCUGGCUCUUCGCAAGCAUCUGCAGCUCCGCUGGGGUCAGGAUGUUCUUCAGCUCGCUCUCAAUCGUGACCUCCGGCUGGAAGUGGAUGCGCAGAGCACGAGAGAAAGCAACCACCCAGCGGGCCAGGGCCUUCUUGGCCUCCACCUGGUCAUCCGGGAAGCAGGUCGCGCCCUGGCGCAUGAUGUCACGGCUGCGGUUCAGCAGGCCACCCCACAUCUUGCGUGCCUCAUCCCACCGUCCGUAGGACGAGUUGGUGCGGAACACCAGCAGCAGCGACAGCGCCACGCUAGUGUUGGAGAUGAAGGCGGAGCACGCGGCGUUGGGCGCGAGGGUGGGGAAGCCCUCGGGCAGCAUGUGCUGAUCAUAGCCGUACAUGUAGGCGGCGACGCAGGUGGAGGUGAAGGCCACCCACAUGAUGGACGGCAGCGCGUUUUGGAUCACGUGGGAUCUGUGGAGCAAGAGGCACACGUGGACGCAGACGCAUCAGUAAGCUACAUGGUCAGGACAUGUCAGGCAUAUGUUUACCGGCCAGCACGAGCAGGCAGGCUGUGCCAAGCAGGGGCUGGCAUGGGGAACCCUAGGAGAACGGCUCCCCUCCGGCCGUGUCAUGCUAGUGCCCGGCAACUUACUGGGGAAUGGAGAACAAGCGCUUCAUAAGGCGGUACUGGUUGCGGUGCGUCUGCCACUGAGGGAAGUCGUAGACCGUGCGGAAGUACUUGCGCGCCUCCUCGGAACGGGGCAGGGUAGGCUGGUUCUGCAGCUGGCUGCUGAAGGAGCCCAGCGGGUUCGACUGCAGGUGCAUCAUGGGCUUAGCUUACUUAGAGAGCGUAGCAGGACAGGGCGCCUAUCGAAUUGCGCAAACAUCCGGGCGUCAUGCUGGCGUUAAGGCAAACAUGUCCAACUGUGCCCUCGCGAGGAUUGUAAAAGGUUUUGCGCUCAUCAUGACCUAUGUUCGCCGCUGCUCUAAACGUUCGCAAAAGGGCCGCUGCGCAGAACACGCGCGUCAGUCGCUCGGCUGAAGCAAUCUGUGCUCCCACCUGAAUGGGCGCAUUAGGGUCCUUGUUGGCUGCCUGGCACCGAACACCGAGGUGGCACACACGUCCGGCGCGAAGUGGGAGGCGAGGGAGCGCGCUGCUGCCGGCGCGACCCAUGGCGACAGGGCGUGAAGAAAGGCACUGCAUUUUUGUCACGCUACACUAUUAGUCAACGCAAGUGAAGUGGCACAAAGCUGAACAGGAAUGUCAGGGUAGAACUUUCGCGCGCUUGACUGGGGUUAAAAAGGGGCAGUGGGCGGUGAAACCUCCGACCCAUGCAGCGCGCGACGUCGACCGUCCGCACUCAACUCCAGGCGUGACGUGUGGCAUAGUGGUGUCCUGUAUGUGAAUGGUGCGCCUGUCCUAUGCUACUAUCGGCGUCAAACGGUCUUUCGUCAGCCAUUGACAUUUUGCUCGCGCUCGCGUGACAGCCCAAAUCAUGCUUGAGCCUGAGGCCAAUGAAGGCAACGGAGUUUGUCUUGUGUGCAUACCGAAUGGGUGGUCUCACGAACCUGAUUCCAUGCCAAGGGUGCAGCCGCACGGUGCAGCCGGGGUUGCGGGCGCCUGCAGGGCAGCGCUCGUAUCUUACGAAGGCAGGGGCGGCGUCAGUGGCCGAAUUCCUUAAAAUGGCUUCGUUUAGUUGACGAAACAGGCUGCCGCCGCUUCGUUGACCCCCAAAAUUUUUCCGGGGGCUCCGCCCCCGACCCGCACGAUGUCGACACCGACACGACACGCCCACUCCUCCCCUGCUUCCUGCCGACCCAACCUCACUCUCCCGCCAGGGGAACCCCUGUCUCCCGCCGUCAACACCCAUAGAUACAGCCCUUUGAGCCUUCUUACCAUAUGCCACGCAGGUUUCGGCCGUGGAGUAGCCGCUGGACCCCCCUGUCCUUGGCCAAAAGUGGCCGAAAUCCCAAAAAUGUCUUCGUCUGUUUGCCGAAAUACCCCCCAAGAUCCCGUGCGUUUUGGCCGAAAUUUCAUGUUAACAUCACAAAAAUUUCGUCCGCCAGAGGCCUUUUUGGGCAAAUUUCGUUUCGAACGAAGGAAGAUACGAGCGCUGCUGCAGGGGCUGCCGGGGUUGCUCCCUGCGCCCCUCCCGUUGGCACGCUGGGCUGGCGGGUAGGGCCAAUGCAGGGUCACCAUUGGCUGGAAGAAAGCUACAGGGGCGGGUUGUUGGACAGUACCAUGUAGCAACAACAUGAGCGCUUGAGUCCGGGGCUCUGGGCAAAUGGACAGCCGCCCCGCUUGUACCGUACUGCCCCACUGUCCCACCGCACACGUAGGCUGCCAUGCAGGGCCAUGCUCGGAUGCUCCCACGACCCCAUUAUGGCAGCUUAGCGAACCUGCCAUGUGGGCAUUGGACACUACUGAACUAAGAAGAGUAGCGGCAAGGCGGGCAUCGGCGGACACCAGCAGGCAGCCUCCUGCUUGGACUUGCGUGUCAGCUGGUCCCUUGCGUCACCAAUGCGAUCUUUUGUCCGGCCGGGCCACGCGCUCACGCGUUGCCGUCGCAGCUAAUUUGUUGCAUGCUAGGGUCUGACCAGUGGCCAUUCCCUGCACACUGCAGGACUACGCCACUGAUGCCCCCAGAUGCCCUUGAAUGUCUUGUUUUGCUCCCCUUGGGAUCGGAAUAAACUGCCCCCUCCCCCAGCCCUCCCCGUCCCAACUCAGGCCGUCAGGGGGGCACAGCUGCGAGCCACACACACCAGCAGACCCCAGCGCCCACAGAUAGGGCGUCGAGCCCCAGGACCGGGAGGACUGGCAGCAUUCGGCUCAGUCUGGUAGCCUGGUUACAGUGCAUGACAGGAGUGUCCCUGUAACAUGCAAUAUCCGCGAUAUACCCCUGACUGCGAAGAGAGCCUGUCGGUCCGCUACUGUCCGCUGUCGUGUUACGUGCAUCAACGCUCUAGCCCGUAACCUCAUCAAGUUAAUGUCUUCUGCAACUCACCCCACAGUAACAUACCUUCAUUUGUAUGCAUCGCCUACUCGCAGGCAGUCACGUACACUCUCUCGGCCACCCGCGGGUUAUCCCUUGGGUAAUGUGCCGAUCCGAAACCAACAAUACCCACCACAGGCGCCGAACUCCGACCACAUCUUCUUCACCCUGCCUACCAAUGCCUUAUUUGUACAGAGUGUAGUGUGCACACUCGGAAAAACAGUACAGGGCACGCGUGACGUCUUCUUGACUAGCGGAAGUUGGUACACACCGCGCCAAUAUACGCUCGUUAUUGUGUUCGUGUGUCAGGGCAACUGGACCACCCCAUGCUAGUAUUCAUGGCCGCACAUGAAUAGUGUGACGACUUCAACCUCUCACGCACCCAUGACACAGGACCGGCUUGUGAGGACCUCGGGGGUGCGCAAUAUACAACCUCAUAACCACCCCCAUAUCUGCGGCUCAAACUCAGGUUCGUGUCUGCAUUGCGCCAGUGCUGUGUUAUGUGUAAAUGGCACCAACGCGUCAGACAUUAUGCAUACGGCCAUCCGGCCGCACCAUGCGCGGAAUGAGAUGGUGUACUUUUGUGCAACCACCUGGAACGCUUCCAAACCAAUUUUCCCUCAUGCUCCAGCCAGGCACUUAGGCUCGGCAGUACGGCCGUGCAUGCACGCACCCCGCUGCGUGCAUCGCAGCCGUGGCGCAUGUGCAACCAGCCACGAAAACACAGGAAUGCACGCAUCACUGCCUCACACUCCCCUUGUUGCCUCCUAGUACACACGCGGGCGCGCAGGAGCCAUCCGCGCCUUGCACACGGGCAUCACCUCGCCGCCGCUGAUGCCUCGCGCACGUUGCCGUCAUGCCGCUGCAGUUUCCAAGCCCAUCGCGCCACGGUUAGCCCCGCCGCUAGCACCAGAGCUGUUAGGACCACGCCGUGCGUAAGCUGGUGCCCAGGUUACACCGAAGCCACCUCGCCCGGCUGCUGGCUGCCGCGCGGGCCACCGCCGCGCUGCCGUGAGUGCUGCCCGCCGUGGAACCGGCCGCAUGUCAACGCGGGCCCCCAGCUACAGCUACGGUAGCCCGCUGGAAGCUGCCAAACCCCCGGCCGCGCACUCCCCGCACACAGCAACAUAGCACCUUGCUCUUACACCCAGCGCCGGGCCUUCUACCGGGGCGAGAUGCGCACGUUCAUGCUGCCGGAGGACGAGGUGACAGUCACAGGCGCCAGCACCGGCGGCGGCACCUGAGUGCUCACCGGCUUGCUGCCAUUGCCGUUUGAGUGGCUGGCAGCGCCGUUGCCGUUGGCCGCGGCGAGAGCGGCGGCGGCCGCGGCGGUCACGGGGUCCGAGGGCGACGCGUGCUCCGUAGGCGGCAGCGACAUGGACGGGAUUAGGCUGAUGAGUCCGGCCUCCGCCAGGACGGUCUUGGUGUCCGCGUCGUCCUUCAGCGUGGCCAUGACGUCGGCCUGGAUGCGGUUGCAGAUCACGUCCAGGGGCAGGAUGCUGCAGGCAGGGGUGAAGACGAGUAAGGGGCGAGGUCAACGUGCUGAGAAGGGGCAGAGACAGGAACGGCAAGAAUCAGAACACGAUGCUGCAGGCAAUAGCCAGACACGCUCUGUCUCAGCAGACCGCAAGUCCUUAUCACUGUAGGUCUGUAGGCGGUUGCCUAUUUGACAGCCCGCAGCAACCACCCCGCUUUGACCUGCCUAGACUCACCCGAAGGGCUCCUCGCACUGCACGCCAAUCUCCUCAAUACCGCACAGCACGGCGGCAAUGCCCGUGCAUACCGGGAUCACGGACACGCCGCACGACCCGUACAGGGCGAACGGCAGCAGAGUCAGCCACGCGAACAGGAAGCGCGCGGUGUGGCGGGUGUAGGACACGGGGAUGGGGGCACGCAGCAGGCGUUCGCAGCCUCCCAGCACAUCGUGGAAGAAGGUCAGGUUGUUGCUCAUCUGCUGCUGGUGGAUGGAGCUCAUGCGCACCGACUGGAUGAUCUGUGGGGAGGGCACGUGGCGGGUAACGCAAGCUCACAAAUGGGUGUUGGGUGAUGCAUGUUGCUGCGAUUUCCAUUGUUGCAUGUUCCAACUGUGAUCUGCACGCGCGAAGAGGAGUCCACGUGCGCACCUGGCUGAUGGCGUGGAUGGCGCGCACGGGGCGGUGCUGGCUCUUCGCAAGCAUCUGCAGCUCCGCCGG